AUUGAACUGAAGAGUUUGAUCCUGGCUCAGAUUGAACGCUGGCGGCAUGCCUUACACAUGCAAGUCGAACGGCAGCACGGGUGCUUGCACCUGGUGGCGAGUGGCGAACGGGUGAGUAAUACAUCGGAACGUACCUUAUCGUGGGGGAUAACGCAGCGAAAGCUGUGCUAAUACCGCAUACGCCCUGAGGGGGAAAGCGGGGGAUCGAAAGACCUCGCGCGAUUAGAGCGGCCGAUGCCUGAUUAGCUUGUUGGUGGGGUAAAAGCCCACCAAGGCGACGAUCAGUAGCUGGUCUGAGAGGACGAUCAGCCACACUGGGACUGAGACACGGCCCAGACUCCUACGGGAGGCAGCAGUGGGGAAUUUUGGACAAUGGGGGAAACCCUGAUCCAGCAAUGCCGCGUGAGUGAAGAAGGCCUUCGGGUUGUAAAGCUCUUUUGUCAGGGAAGAAACACCGGCUCUAACACAGUCCGGGAAUGACGGUACCUGAAGAAUAAGCACCGGCUAACUACGUGCCAGCAGCCGCGGUAAUACGUAGGGUGCGAGCGUUAAUCGGAAUUACUGGGCGUAAAGCGUGCGCAGGCGGUU
rnacentral:rRNA from 1 species